UACGUAGGGUGCAAGCGUUGUUCGGAAUUACUGGGCGUAAAGCGCGCGUAGGCGGGCUUGAAAGUUGAUUGUGAAAGCCCUGGGCUUAACCCGGGAAUGGCAGUCAAAACUACAAGUCUUGAGUGCCUGAGAGGAUGGCGGAAUUCCCGGUGUAGUAGUGAAAUGACGUAGAUAUCGGGAAGGAACACCUGAGGCGAAGGCGGCUACCUGGCCGUUGUCG
rnacentral:rRNA from 1 species